GGCUCCAUAGUGUAGUGGUUAGUGCAUCUGCUUUACAUGCAGGAGGUCCUGGUUUCACACCCUGGGUUGAGCCA
rnacentral:tRNA from 1 species